AUUGAACGCUGGCGGCAGGCCUAACACAUGCAAGUCGAACGAGCGGCGGACGGGUGAGUAAUGUCUGGGAAACUGCCUGAUGGAGGGGGAUAACUACUGGAAACGGUAGCUAAUACCGCAUACCAUCAGAUGUGCCCAGAUGGGAUUAGCUAGUAGGUGGGGUAAAGGCUCACCUAGGCGACGAGCCCUAGCUGGUCUGAGAGGAUGACCAGCAACACUGGAACUGAGAAACGGUCCAGACUCCUACGGGAGGCAGCAGUGGGGAAUAUUGCACAAUGGGCGCAAGCCUGAUGCAGCCAUGCCGCGUGUGUGAAGAAGGCCUUCGGGUUGUAAAGUACUUUCAGCGGGGAGGCGUUACCCGCAGAAGAAGCACCGGCUAACUCCGUGCCAGCAGCCGCGGUAAUUC
rnacentral:rRNA from 1 species